rnacentral:lncRNA from 1 species
UAUGAUUACUUUUCACCUAACUAUAGUUACUUUACAUCUUUACUAUUCCUACUUUUGUACAUAUUCCUAGACUAAUACGUUAGUGCUUCUUUACAUCUGCACUACUAUCUUUACAAAGUCAACAAAAGGACAAACAACUUUACAAAAAGUUGUCCCACUAUCUUAUCUUUAGCUUCCUUUUUCUUCCACUAUCUCUUCUCCACUAUCUUCCAUUAUCUUCUUUUGUCGUCUUGCUCAUUCCAGCUGUACGUCUGGGAUUACGUUAUCUUCUCCUUGGCAUUUAGAACAUUGGUGAUCCGGAUAUUUGUGUCCAAUAGUUUUACAAUAUCUUGUCAUUAUUUCUGAUGAGAUAAAGUUCUUCCUUAUAGCUCUUGUAGUUGGCUGUUGCUCAGGUUUUAG